rnacentral:rRNA from 1 species
UACUCCUACGGGAGGCAGCAGUAGGGAAUCUUCGGCAAUGGACGGAAGUCUGACCGAGCAACGCCGCGUGAGUGAAGAAGGUUUUCGGAUCGUAAAGCUCUGUUGUAAGAGAAGAACGAGUGUGAGAGUGGAAAGUUCACACUGUGACGGUAUCUUACCAGAAAGGGACGGCUAACUACGUGCCAGCAGCCGCGGUAAUACGUAGGUCCCGAGCGUUGUCCGGAUUUAUUGGGCGUAAAGCGAGCGCAGGCGGUUAGAUAAGUCUGAAGUUAAAGGCUGUGGCUUAACCAUAGUACGCUUUGGAAACUGUUUAACUUGAGUGCAAGAGGGGAGAGUGGAAUUCCAUGUGUAGCGGUGAAAUGCGUAGAUAUAUGGAGGAACACCGGUGGCGAAAGCGGCUCUCUGGCUUGUAACUGACGCUGAGGCUCGAAAGCGUGGGGAGCAAACAGGAUUAGACACCCUGGUAGUCCACGCCGUAAACGAUGAGUGCUAGGUGUUAGACCCUUUCCGGGGUUUAGUGCCGUAGCUAACGCAUUAAGCACUCCGCCUGGGGAGUACGACCGCAAGGUUGAAACUCAAAGGAAUUGACGGA